CACCAUUAUGUCUCUUUUCUGUGGCAGCUGCACACAAAGAACUCAACAUUAAACAUUGUGUCACAAGUCUCCGUAACACUGAUCCGGGUUUCAACUGAACCAGUACUUUCAUCUUAAACCGGCCUUCAGGUCUGAAGAGCUUCACUUGAUGCGUAAACUGUUUCCUGCACUUACUGUGUGUGUGUGUGUGUUUUUUUUCUGUUGAAGAUUGUAAACCAAAUUUGCAACAAGGACUAUGCAACAAAUGUUACCUGAAUAUAAUUGCACUGCACAUAAAGACUUUUCUUCAAUA